CCGCCGCUGCCGCCACGGAGCCCGGCCGAGGGGAGGGAGGGAUCAGCCCCCAGGCAGGAUCCGCCCCUCCGGCCUCCCCCCCUCCCCCCGCCACCUCCACCCCUUGCCUCGCUCCCUCUCUGGCUCCGCGGGCUCUCCCGCUGAACAGGAGCGGGAGCGCGAAAGAGAGGGGAAACAAGAAAAAAAUCCCCCCGCCCGUGCCCGGCGCGGCGGCGGCCGGGGCGACGCGGAGAGGAGCGCGGAGCCGCUGCCGCCACAGGGCACCGUCCCCUGCUCGGCCUCACGGUGGCGGUGCGGACGCGGCAGGGGCGCGGAGCAAAGGCGGGAUCUGCGCCCGCCGCGGCCCUGGCUCACGCCGACCUGGCUCGCCACGGGGAGAGUCCGACUAGAGAGCUGGGGGGUGUUCGGGUCCAGAUGGGAAAGCCGGGGUCCCUAACUCCUUAGAGUGGUUAGUCAUCCCCUCCCCCAGCCCUGCGGGGGAGGUGGCUAAGGUUUGGAGCAGCAACCCCCCUCCCUGAGCUAGAGGGUCCCUCCAAAGGCUAAGUCAAGAGCAGUCAUUGAAGACAAAACCAGUCUGCAGUUUCUUGGGGUGCAGGUGCCUGCACUACUCCCAGAAAGUCGCCCCCCUCCCUCCGUGCUCCAGUCCGGAGGACAAAGGUCUAUCGAUGUCCAUACCCUUCCCCAGUGAGGACAGCCGGGGAAGACCUGCCUCUGUUGUGUACAGGACCCCGUGUGUCUGCAGGAUUGAUGAGUGGACUCUCCGUCUGGCUGUGGGCAGUACCUCCAGGUCCUUUCAGGGAUAUGGGCUCAAUCUACACAAAAGGAAGAAAACCUACAGAUCAAGUCAAAAGGUCUUUUCAGAUGGAAAGCUCACAUUCUCAACUCCACACUCUGCUGCCUCCCAGACCCUGCAUGAGAAGCUGCAGAUACCAGGGUCAUAAUAUAAGCUGUAUUAUACGUGACUGGGGCCAGGUCUCUUGAGGACCUAUGAGGGAAGAUUUAACAUGAAGGAGACCAGGUGAAUGGAGAAAACUGCUGUUGAGAAGGAGGAAAUGACAAUGUCCGGAAGAUGGGGUAAUCAGGGAGGGAAGAGGAUGUGGUAGAGAAAAUAAAAAUAAUAGUUAAUGCUUGGUGAGCACUUCCCAUGUGCCAGGUACUGUUCUGAGUGCUUCCCUUAUGUUAAUUUCUUUAGUAUUAUUAUCCUUAUAGAUGAGGA